UACGUAGGGUGCAAGCGUUAAUCGGAAUUACUGGGCGUAAAGCGUGCGCAGGCGGCUUUGCAAGACAGAUGUGAAAUCCCCGGGCUCAACCUGGGAACUGCAUUUGUGACUGCAUGGCUAGAGUACGGUAGAGGGGGAUGGAAUUCCGCGUGUAGCAGUGAAAUGCGUAGAUAUGCGGAGGAACACCGACGGCGAAGGCAAUCCCCUGGACCUGUACUGACGCUCAUGCACGAAAGCGUGGGGAGCAAACAGG
rnacentral:rRNA from 1 species